UAGGGAAUAUUGGACAAUGGGUGAGAGCCUGAUCCAGCCAUGCCGCGUGCAGGAAGAGGGCGUUAUGCGUUGUAAACUGCUUUUUGCCAGGGGAUAAAAAGACCGUGCGCGGUUAAUUGAAGGUACCUGGUGAAUAAGCCACGGCUAACUACGUGCCAGCAGCCGUGGUAAUACGUAGGUGGCAAGCGUUGUCCGGAUUUAUUGGGUUUAAAGGGUGCGUAGGCGGUUCCAUAAGUCAGUGGUGAAAUACAAUAGCUUAACUAUUGAGGUGCCAUUGAUACUGCGGAACUUGAGUACAGACGAGGUAGGCGGAAUUGACGGUGUAGCGGUGAAAUGCUUAGAUAUCGUCAAGAACACCGAUAGCGAAGGCAGCUUACUAGACUGUAACUGACGCUGAGGCACGAAAGUGUGGGGAUCAAACAGGAUUAGAUACCCUCGUAGUCCCUGAGCGGGCUGGCAAGGCGCAU
rnacentral:rRNA from 1 species